UACGUAGGGUGCGAGCGUUGUCCGGAAUUAUUGGGCGUAAAGAGCUCGUAGGCGGUGUGUCGCGUCGGCCGUGAAAACCUGGGGCUCAACUCUGGGCGUGCGGUCGAUACGGGCAUCACUGGACGUUCGGCAGGGGGAGACUGGAAUUCCUGGUGUAGCGGUGAAAUGCGCAGAUAUCAGGAGGAACACCGGUGGCGAAGG
rnacentral:rRNA from 1 species